rnacentral:rRNA from 1 species
AGAGUUUGAUCCUGGCUCAGGAUGAACGCUGGCGGCGUGCCUAAUACAUGCAAGUCGAGCGAACAGAUAAGGAGCUUGCUCCUUUGAAGUUAGCGGCGGACGGGUGAGUAACACGUGGGUAACCUACCUAUAAGACUGGGAUAACUUCGGGAAACCGGAGCUAAUACCGGAUAACAUUUAGAACCGCAUGGUUCUAAAGUGAAAGAUGGUUUUGCUAUCACUUAUAGAUGGACCCGCGCCGUAUUAGCUAGUUGGUAAGGUAACGGCUUACCAAGGCGACGAUACGUAGCCGACCUGAGAGGGUGAUCGGCCACACUGGAACUGAGACACGGUCCAGACUCCUACGGGAGGCAGCAGUAGGGAAUCUUCCGCAAUGGGCGAAAGCCUGACGGAGCAACGCCGCGUGAGUGAUGAAGGGUUUCGGCUCGUAAAACUCUGUUAUUAGGGAAGAACAAAUGUGUAAGUAACUGUGCACAUCUUGACGGCACCUAAUCAGAAAGCCACGGCUAACUACGUG